UGAGCAUACAUCAAACCCUGAAAAAACCAAAGAACCCAGAGAGAGGAACCACAUAUCGAGAGAGAAACAAAGUGGAAGAACCAACACCAAGAACCAACCCCAGAUCUGUCCACUCACGAAGGUUGAUCCACCAUGAUAGAUCAUACAACAAAGGUCCAGAUCUGGAGCAUAAACAAGAUAUAAGACACUACAAUGCAAAAGAUCAGGAACGUCACACCCUAAUCCAAAAACAUCACACCAGGAAAAAACAUAUUCGUGCAAGAGAAGGGGAUGAGAUCUGCACCCUCCAUAAACCGCUGGAUCAAGGGUCCAUGCAAUCAAAAUGGAUGCAUAAACUGCAUCCCAACAAACUCAAUAAAAAAUUCCCAGAUCCACACCCGAUCAGACUCACAAGAUGUGGGUAGGGGAUUCGAAGGCGCGAUCACCAGUCCAUACCAUCAUUCGAAAACCAAUAGAGUCCAAAAAGGAAGAGGAGUGAGAGGGGAGACACUUCAAAUCGAAGAAAAUAAACCUACAAAAUGAUGAAUUCAGGAGUUGCGACAAAGGAUGUGGCCAGGGAAAAAUCUGGCUGCAGAGCAUCAAAUGAUGUAGCUAGGGAACCCUAACUACAGAGCCUCCCAUAUAUAUAUGUAUAUAUAUAACCUUACUAUAUAUAUAAUUAAUAUUAAUCCUUGUCAAAUCUAGUAUAUACAAGGGGAAUCUGACUAUUUAAUUAAAACAAAGCAUUGUGAUGGUCCCUGCGGAUGCUGAUGUAAUGUGAUUUAUACCCAGUGCUCUGCAUGUGAAAGUGAAUAAAUUCAACCAAGCACGGGUAAAUUAUGAGAGUAACUAUGACUCUCUUAAGGUAUUUAGAUGCCUAGUCAUCUAAUUAGUGACAUGCGUGAAUGGAUUAAGAAGAUUCCCACUGUCCCUCGAUACUAUCUAUAGAAACCACAACAAACGAAUAUUAGCCC
rnacentral:ncRNA from 1 species